rnacentral:rRNA from 1 species
CAGCCGCCGCGGGAAUACGGAGGGAGCUAGCGUUGUUCGGAAUUACUGGGCGUAAAGCGCACGUAGGCGGUUAUUCAAGUCAGAGGUGAAAGCCCGGGGCUCAACCCCGGAACUGCCUUUGAAACUAGAUGACUGGAAUCUUGGAGAGGUCAGUGGAAUUCCGAGUGUAGAGGUGAAAUUCGUAGAUAUUCGGAAGAACACCAGUGGCGAAGGCGACUGACUGGACAAGUAUUGACGCUGAGGUGCGAAAGCGUGGGGAGCAAACAGGAUUAGAUACCCCGGUAGUCCCUGUCUCUUAUAC